rnacentral:rRNA from 1 species
AGAGAUCAUGGCUCAGGAUGAACGCUAGCGGCAGGCUUAAUACAUGCAAGUCGAGGGGCAGCAGGUCCCGCAAGGGAUGCUGGCGACCGGCAAACGGGUGCGGAACACGUACGCAACUUUCCUUCAAGUGAGGAAUAGCCCAGGGAAACUUGGAUUAAUACCUCGUAAUAUUAUGAAGUGGCAUCACUUUAUAAUUAUAGCUCCGGCGCUUGAAGAUGGGCGUGCGCCUGAUUAGGUAGUUGGCGGGGUAAUGGCCCACCAAGCCUACGAUCAGUAACUGGUGUGAGAGCACGACCAGUCACACGGGCACUGAGACACGGGCCCGACUCCUACGGGAGGCAGCAGUAAGGAAUAUUGGGCAAUGGACGCAAGUCUGACCCAGCCAUGCCGCGUGGAGGAUGAAGGUCCUCUGGAUUGUAAACUUCUUUUAUCUGGGAAGAAACCCAUAUUUUCUAAUGUGGUUGACGGUACCAGAUGAAUAAGCACCGGCUAACUCCGUGCCAGCAGCCGCGGUAAUACGGAGGGUGCAAGCGUUAUCCGGAUUCACUGGGUUUAAAGGGUGCGUAGGUGGGCAGGUAAGUCAGUGGUGAAAUCUCCGGGCUUAACCCGGAAACUGCCGUUGAUACUAUCUGUCUUGAAUAUCGUGGAGGUUAGCGGAAUAUGUCAUGUAGCGGUGAAAUGCUUAGAUAUGACAUAGAACACCGAUUGCGAAGGCAGCUAACUACACGAUCAUUGACACUGAGGCACGAAAGCGUGGGGAGCAAACAGGAUUAGAUACCCUGGUAGUCCACGCCCUAAACGAUGGAUACUCGACAUCAGCGAUACAUUGUUGGUGUCUGAGCGAAAGCAUUAAUUAUCCCACCUGGGAAGUACGACCGCAAGGUUGAAACUCAAA